CCUCAGGACACUCCGCCCUAACGUGGAGCUUUCGACCUGGGAGGGUCGCCAUG
rfam:Devosia sp. 66-22 SCNpilot_expt_1000_bf_scaffold_286, whole genome shotgun sequence.